rnacentral:rRNA from 1 species
GACGAACGCUGGCGGCGUGCCUAAUACAUGCAAGUCGAACGCAGUGGGGACGGGUGAGUAACACGUGGGUAACCUCCCAUCAGAGGGGAUAAAACUAGGAAACAGGUGCUAAACCGAUAGUGAUGGACGGACCAGCGGUGCAUUAGCUAGUUGGUGCGGUAACGGCUCACCAAGGACACGAUGCAUAGCGGACCGGAGAGGCUGAUCGGCCACACUGUGACUGAGACACGGCCCAGACUCCUACGGGAGGCAGCAGUAGGGAAUCUUGGGCAAUGGACGAAAGUCUGACCGGGCAACGCCGAGUGAAUGAAAAAGUUUUUCGGAGCGUAAAACUCUGUUGUUAUAGAAGCGGUAUCUAACCAGAAAGCCCCGGCUAACUACGUGCCAGCAGCCGCGGUAAUUC